GGGAACGGAGCAGCUCUUGUCACAAGUCUCCAGGUGCCUCAGAGACACAGCGGGAAAGAUCGGGAAAGAUCUGGCCCUGUGCGGCGGCUUCUCCGACCUUGGGACCAGACUGCAGACUGCCCCUCACCGUUCCUCUUCCACAGUGAUGUUCCGGCGCCCCGCGCACAGGUGGCAUCCCAGUCCCUCUCAGAUACCAGAUGGAGCUGUCCCCAGCCAAGGUGUGACCUCGGAGCAGCAUUCAAACUUAGGAGCUUUGGAGUGGCUCCGGGUACAUUUCCCAGGAGAGGUCGGGUCGGGGUGAAGAGACAGACGAAGGUGAACCGGAGGCCGGGACAAUUUGCUACAUGGUCCUGCUGGAAAACCUCUGGUCAGAUUUUGUAAAACUGUGCGCCCCAGAGGGUUAAUGAGGUUAAAAAGUCACUGCCGCCCAGUGACUCCCCUUCUUCACCAGAGUGCUCACUCUAUCGUUUAGGGGCAAACAGCAGGCAGAGCUCUGGCCGGCCUAGACCAGUUUGAGCGCCACACUGCUGCACGCAUGCGCGGCCGGACCCUCUCGUGUCUGCUUCAUUGUAACGUUGAACUCCUCGCCCGAGGAGCGCACGCUUCAUCAGCAUCACAUGCAACACGUGUGUAGGCAUAUGUUUUAAGUACUCCGACACAGCCCUAUGCCCCCGCCUCUGCUUUCGAGGCCGAAACUCCCCUUUCAGGAUAGUCAUCUGAAUACUCCCCCCCACUUCAGAGUGGGGCCAAUAGCUUUGGAAAUUAUUCCCCGCGAUCUCCUUAUUUGCGGCAAGUAAAGUUCCCUUCGGGCGACAGCUCCGCCUGGUAUAGUCUCUACCUGUAACUCGCCGAGGAGCAAACUCGCACGACCCCGUGUCACAGAAGCACAUGGGGAAUGGAACUGGGGGGUUCACUUGGGUCCUUGGCCUCUGAGACUUGCAGAGACAAGGUUGAGUUGGGGGCCAAGCCCCCCCCCCCUUCUCUCUCAAAUUAGCCAACCUUGGCAUUUCCUAGGGAGAAAGGACCAUCAUUCCCAUAGCACGAUUGUCCUUACUUCCUUUAAAAACACUGGAGCAGUAAAGCAACGGCUGAGCUGGAUUUAUUCCAGGAAUGCAAGGUUGGUUUUAUGUUCAAGAAAGUCUAUCAAAGUAGUUAAUUAUAUUGACUGAAUGAAAAGGAAAAGUCACGGGAUCUUCAUAAAUGUUUUUACAAACGCGUGGAUAGAGUUCACACCUGUACUAAUCAUGGUUUUUAUUUUCUGUAUUAUAUGAUGGUUUUACAUCUUGG
rnacentral:lncRNA from 1 species